rnacentral:rRNA from 1 species
UACGGAGGGGGCUAGCGUUGCUCGGAAUCACUGGGCGUAAAGCGCACGUAGGCGGAUUGUUAAGUCAGGGGGUGAAAUCCUGGAGCUCAACUCCAGAACUGCCUUUGAUACUGGCGAUCUCGAGUCCGGGAGAGGUGAGUGGAACUGCGAGUGUAGAGGUGAAAUUCGUAGAUAUUCGCAAGAACACCAGUGGCGAAGGCGGCUCACUGGCCCGGUACUGACGCUGAGGUGCGAAAGCGUGGGGAGCAAACAGG